rnacentral:rRNA from 1 species
CGGGACACGUGGUAUCCUGUCUGAAUAUGGGGGGACCAUCCUCCAAGGCUAAAUACUCCUGACUGACCGAUAGUGAACCAGUACCGUGAGGGAAAGGCGAAAAGAACCCCGGCGAGGGGAGUGAAAAAGAACCUGAAACCGUGUACGUACAAGCAGUGGGAGCACGCUUAGGCGUGUGACUGCGUACCUUUUGUAUAAUGGGUCAGCGACUUAUAUUCUGUAGCAAGGUUAACCGAAUAGGGGAGCCGAAGGGAAACCGAGUCUUAACUGGGCGUUAAGUUGCAGGGUAUAGACCCGAAACCCGGUGAUCUAGCCAUGGGCAGGUUGAAGGUUGGGUAACACUAACUGGAGGACCGAACCGACUAAUGUUGAAAAAUUAGCGGAUGACUUGUGGCUGGGGGUGAAAGGCCAAUCAAACCGGGAGAUAGCUGGUUCUCCCCGAAAGCUAUUUAGGUAGCGCCUCGUGAAUUCAUCUCCGGGGGUAGAGCACUGUUUCGGCAAGGGGGUCAUCCCGACUUACCAACCCGAUGCAAACUGCGAAUACCGGAGAAUGUUAUCACGGGAGACACACGGCGGGUGCUAACGUCCGUCGUGAAGAGGGAAACAACCCAGACCGCCAGCUAAGGUCCCAAAGUCAUGGUUAAGUGGGAAACGAUGUGGGAAGGCCCAGACAGCCAGGAUGUUGGCUUAGAAGCAGCCAUCAUUUAAAGAAAGCGUAAUAGCUCACUGGUCGAGUCGGCCUGCGCGGAAGAUGUAACGGGGCUAAACCAUGCACCGAAGCUGCGGCAGCGACGCUGAU